CCUACGGGAGGCAGCAGUGGGGAAUAUUGCGCAAUGGGCGAAAGCCUGACGCAGCGACGCCGCGUGAGGGAUGAAGGUCUUCGGAUCGUAAACCUCUGUCAGCAGGGAAGAAAGGUCACUGUGCUAAUCAGCAGUGAAUUGACGGUACCUGCAAAGGAAGCACCGGCUAACUCCGUGCCAGCAGCCGCUGUAAUACGGAGGGUGCGAGCGUUAAUCGGAAUUGCUGGGCGUAAAGCGGUCGUAGGCGGUAUGUCAAGUAAGGGGUGAAAUCCCCGGGCUCAACGUGGGAACUGCCUUUGAAACUGGCAAACUGGAGUGUGUGAGAGGAUAGUGGAAUUCCAGGUGUAGGGGUGAAAUCCGUAGAUAUCUGGAGGAACAUCAGUGGCGAAGGCGACUAUCUGGCACAUAACUGACGCUGAGGAGCGAAAGCGUGGGUAGCAAACAGGAUUAGAUACCCUUGUAGUC
rnacentral:rRNA from 1 species